rnacentral:lncRNA from 1 species
AAUUAGCAAUUAGGCAACGGUUGUGCUUGUUUUCAACACUAUAAAUACAUCUUAAAAUCAGUCUUUUAAGUACAACAACUGAUCAUAUUAUUGCUAAAGCUUGCAUACUCGCUUAUUCAUCAUUUUCUAUUCAUUACAUAAGUUUUUGAGAGCCAAAUUCUUGACGAAAGUUGUUGCAUUCUUGAGCGUAUUUAUUUUACUCAUAUCUACUCUUGAGGAGAGUCUUGUUUUGAGUGCAACGUAUUUUUAUACACUUGAAGGAAAGUGU